rnacentral:rRNA from 1 species
UACGUAGGGGGCAAGCGUUGUCCGGAUUUAUUGGGCGUAAAGAGCGUGUAGGCGGUUUGGUAGGUCCGCUGUGAAAACUCGAGGCUCAACCUCGAGACGCCGAUGGAAACCAUCUGACUAGAGUCCGGAAGAGGAGAGUGGAAUUCCUGGUGUAGCGGUGAAAUGCGCAGAUAUCAGGAAGAACACCCGUGGCUAAGGCGGCUCUCUAGUACGGUACUGACGCUGAGACGCGAAAGCGUGGGGAGCGAACAGG